GGCUCGUUGGUCUAGGGGUAUGAUUCUUGCUUUGGGUGUAAGAGGUUCCGGGUUCAUAUCCUGGACGAGCCC